GCCGCUCAAGCACAAGCGGACGUGCAUCUGUCUUGUAAACAGAGGGUUGCCGGUUCGAGGCCGGCGAGCGGCU
rnacentral:tRNA from 1 species